AAAACAUGUCCUUUAGAAUUUAAUUUAAGGUCUAACCUGCCCACUGAAUUAAAUGGCCGCAGUAUUUUAACUGUGCAAAGGUAGCAUAAUCAUUAGUCUUUUAAUUGAAGGCUUGUAUGAAUGGUUGGACGAAAUAUUAACUGUUUCAUAAAAAUUUUUAGAAUUUUAUUUUUUAGUUAAAAAGCUAAAAUGUUUUUAAAAGACGAGAAGACCCUAUAGAUCUUUAUAUUUUAUGUAUUAUGGUUAUUUAGAUUAGUUGAACUAUGAUUAUAUAAAAUAUUUUGUUGGGGUGACAUUAAAAUUUAAAAAACUUUUAAUUAUUGUUUACAUUAAUUAAUGAGUAAUUGAUCCAUUAUUAGUGAUUAAAAAAUUAAGUUACCUUAGGGAUAACAGCGUAAUUUUUUUGGAGAGUUCAUAUCGAUAAAAAAGAUUGCGACCUCGAUGUUGGAUUAAGAUAUAAUUUUGGGUGCAGCAAUUCAAAUAUUAAGUCUGUUCGACUUUUAAUUUCUUACAUGA
rnacentral:rRNA from 1 species